UAGAUGUAUACAUGCAAGCAUCCACGCCCCGGUGUAAAUGCCCACAGCCUCUUACCAAGACAUAAGGAGCAGGCAUCAGGCACACCUUGCCCAACGGUAGCCUAAGACGCCUUGCCUGGCCACACCCCCACGGGUAUUCAGCAGUAACUAACAUUGAGCCAUGAGCGAAAGCUUGACUCAGUCAUAGCAAACAUAGGGUUGGUAAAUCUUGUGCCAGCCACCGCGGUCACACAAGAGACCCAAACUAAUUGUCCACACGGCGUAAAGAGUGGCACAGCAUUAUCACAUCAACUAGGGCCAAAAUGCUACCAAGCUGUCACAAGCCAAGGUUGCACGUAAGAUCCUCAAUCAAAAUGACCCUAGCACUCACGAUUAAUCUAACUCCACGAAAGCCAAGGCACAAACUGGGAUUAGAUACCCCACUAUGCUCGGCCCUAAAUCCUGAUGUUUACUACACCAAAACAUCCGCCUGAGAACUACGAGCACAAACGCUUAAAACUCUAAGGACUUGGCGGUGCCCCAAACCCACCUAGAGGAGCCUGUUCUAUAAUCGAUAAUCCACGAUAUACCCAACCC
rnacentral:rRNA from 1 species